rnacentral:rRNA from 1 species
CCAAGUUUUUAAGGGCGCACGGUGGAUGCCUUGGCACCAGGAACCGAUGAAGGACGUGGGAGGCCACGAUAGGCCCCGGGGAGCUGUCAACCGAGCUUUGAUCCGGGGGUGUCCGAAUGGGGAAACCCGGCAGUCGUCAUGGGCUGUCACCCGCUGCUGAACAUAGGCAGUGUGGAGGGAACGCGGGGAAGUGAAACAUCUCAGUACCCGCAGGAAGAGAAAACACCGUGAUUCCGGGAGUAGUGGCGAGCGAAACCGGAUGAGGCAAACCGUAUGUGUGUGAUACCCGGCAGGGGUUGCGCAUGCGGGGUUGUGGAUCUCUUUUUCAUAGUCUGCCGGCUGUGAGACGAGUCAGAAACCGUUGAUGUAGGCGAAGGACAUGCGAAAGGUCCGGCGUAGAGGGUAAGACCCCCGUAGCUGAAAUCUAUGCGGCUCUCUUGGAAGCCACCCAAGUAGCACGGGGCCCGAGAAAUCCCGUGUGAAUCUGGCGGGACCACCCGCUAAGCCUAAAUAUUCCCUGGUGACCGAUAGCGGAUAGUACCGUGAGGGAAUGGUGAAAAGUACCGCGGGAGCGGAGUGAAAUAGUACCUGAAACCGUGUGCCUACAAGCCGUGGGAGCGUCGCGCAUCGAGCUUGCUCGGUGCGUCGUGACUGCGUGCCUUUUGAAGAAUGAGCCUGCGAGUUUGCGGUAUGUUGCGAGGUUAACCCGUGUGGGGAAGCCGUAGCGAAAGCGAGUCCGAAUAGGGCGUUUGAGUAGCGUGCCCAAGACCCGAAGCGGAGUGAUCUAGCCAUGGGCAGGUUGAAGCGGAGGUAAGACUUCGUGGAGGACCGAACCCACCAGGGUUGAAAACCUGGGGGAUGACCUGUGGUUAGGGGUGAAAGGCCAAUCAAACUCCGUGAUAGCUGGUUCUCCCCGAAAUGCAUUUAGGUGCAGCGUCGUGUGUUUCUUGCCGGAGGUAGAGCACUGGAUAGGCGAUGGGCCUACCGGGUUACUGACCUUAGCCAAACUCCGAAUGCCGGUAAGUGAGAGCGCGGCAGUGAGACUGUGGGGGAUAAGCUCCAUGGUCGAGAGGGAAACAGCCCAGAGCAUCGACUAAGGCCCCUAAGCGUACGCUAAGUGGGAAAGGAUGUGGAGUCGCAGAGACAACCAGGAGGUUGGCUUAGAAGCAGCCACCCUUGAAAGAGUGCGUAAUAGCUCACUGGUCAAGUGAUUCCGCGCCGACAAUGUAGCGGGGCUCAAGCGUACCGCCGAAGUCGUGUCAUUGCAGUAUGUACCCCCAACGGGGACUGUGAUGGGUAGGGGAGCGUCGUGUGCCGGGUGAAGCAGCCGCGGAAGCGAGUUGUGGACGGUUCACGAGUGAGAAUGCAGGCAUGAGUAGCGAUACACACGUGAGAAACGUGUGCGCCGAUUGACUAAGGGUUCCUGGGUCAAGCUGAUCUGCCCAGGGUAAGUCGGGACCUAAGGCGAGGCCGACAGGCGUAGUCGAUGGACAACCGGUUGAUAUUCCGGUACCCGCUUUGAAACGCCCAAUAUCGAAUCAGGCGAUGCUAAGUCCGUGAAGCCGCCCUGGAGUCUUCGGACAAAGGGGAGUGGUGGAGCCGACGAACCAGACUUGUAGUAGGUAAGCGAUGGGGUGACGCAGGAAGGUAGUCCAGCCCGGGCGGUGGUAGUCCCGGGGUAAGGGUGUAGGGCGUUGUGUAGGCAAAUCCGCACAACAUGCAGCCUGAGACCUGAUGCCGAGCCGAUUGUGGUGAAGUGGAUGAUCCUAUGCUGUCGAGAAAAGCCUCUAGCGAGUUUCAUGGCGGCCCGUACCCUAAACCGACUCAGGUGGUCAGGUAGAGAAUACCGAGGCGUUCGGGUGAACUAUGGUUAAGGAACUCGGCAAAAUGCCCCCGUAACUUCGGGAGAAGGGGGGCCAUGUCUGGUGAGGGAACUUGCUUCCUGAGCUGGGUGUGGCCGCAGAGACCAGCGAGAAGCGACUGUUUACUAAAAACACAGGUCCGUGCGAAGCCGUAAGGCGAUGUAUACGGACUGACGCCUGCCCGGUGCUGGAACGUUAAGGGGACCGGUUAGCUCCAUUUCGGUGGGGCGAAGCUGAGAACUUAAGCGCCAGUAAACGGCGGUGGUAACUAUAACCAUCCUAAGGUAGCGAAAUUCCUUGUCGGGUAAGUUCCGACCUGCACGAAUGCGUAACGACUUCUCGACUGUCUCAACCAUAGGCCCGGUAAAUUGCACUAGAGUAAAGGUCCGGCCGCCUCUGAGACAUCCGGAAUGAAGUCGUUACGCCAUUCGUGCAGGUCGGAACUUACCCGACAAGGAAUUUCGCUACCUUAGGAUGGUUAUAGUUACCACCGCCGUUUACUGGCGCUUAAGUUCUCAGCUUCGCCCCACCGAAAUGGAGCUAACCGGUCCCCUUAACGUUCCAGCACCGGGCAGGCGUCAGUCCGUAUACAUCGCCUUACGGCUUCGCACGGACCUGUGUUUUUAGUAAACAGUCGCUUCUCGCUGGUCUCUGCGGCCACACCCAGCUCAGGAAGCAAGUUCCCUCACCAGACAUGGCCCCCCUUCUCCCGAAGUUACGGGGGCAUUUUGCCGAGUUCCUUAACCAUAGUUCACCCGAACGCCUCGGUAUUCUCUACCUGACCACCUGAGUCGGUUUAGGGUACGGGCCGCCAUGAAACUCGCUAGAGGCUUUUCUCGACAGCAUAGGAUCAUCCACUUCACCACAAUCGGCUCGGCAUCAGGUCUCAGGCUGCAUGUUGUGCGGAUUUGCCUACACAACGCCCUACACCCUUACCCCGGGACUACCACCGCCCGGGCUGGACUACCUUCCUGCGUCACCCCAUCGCUUACCUACUACAAGUCUGGUUCGUCGGCUCCACCAC